CCCACUAAAGGUAGGAAAGGUACCCUACACGCUAGUGCCUCUAGCACUAGUCACCAGAGAUGCAGGAUACACCGCCCUGCUUAGUGGA
rnacentral:ncRNA from 1 species